CAGCCGCCGCGGUAAUACCGGCGGCCCGAGUGGCGGUCACUAUUAUUUGGCUUAAAGCGUCCGUAGCCGGGGUGGGAAGUCCUCCGGGAAAUCUGGCCGCUUAACGGUCAGAAUGCCGGAGGAUACUCCCAGCCUAGGGAGCGGGAGAGGCCGAGGGGAUUCCCGGAGUAGGGGGGAAAUCCUAUAAUCCCGGGAGGACCACCUGUGGCGAAGGCGCUCGGCUGGAACGCGUCCGACGGUGAGGGACGAAGGCCAGGGGAGCAAACCGGAUUAGAUACCCGGGUAGUCCUGGCUGUAAACGAUGCGGACUUUGUGUCGGACAAGCUAUGAGCUUGUCCGGUGCCGGAGGGAAACCGUUAAGUCCGCCGCCUGGGGAGUACGGCCGCAAGGCUGAAACUUAAAGGAAUUGGCGGG
rnacentral:rRNA from 1 species